GAUUGAAGAAUUAAACCUUAGGUUUAAUUAAAAUACAUAAGUCUAUAUUUUAUUUCUUUUUAUUUUCUUCCGUUUCUCACCCCACCCAAGCCAUGCCGAACCCUUUCCUCCCGACGUCUCCUCCCCUCUCGCAACGUCGGCCCUUUUCGGCUUCCCCAAUCGACGCCGCCCUCCCGAGGCCUCGCGCUUCCUCUUCCCUCACGAACAAAACCCGUCGGCCAAGGGAGAUCGGGCACAACUCCUCCCUCUUCCAUCCUUCUCCACCUCACGCCGACUCCUCCCUUUUCCCCUCUCUGUGUUGCCGCCGGCCAUCACAGGCCGUCGCUCGUCGCCAGCGAUCACAAGAGCCACCUCCUCUCUUCAUCACCGGCGCAGAUCUAGAUCGAGCAUUUUCCCGAUCGCAGGGGAGGCCAUCCAUCGUUGAGGUGUGCCCUACUUUGGAUCCACUACCCCUCUUCUGAUCGCAUCAGCCUCUGUGCAGUGCUAUCCUCAGCCGAUGCCCUAGUGCCAUCAUCAGAGGAGAAUUUUGGUCAUCGGCUUUAGAUUCUUGGCCGUGCACACCAAGUGCUCACUGGGAGCACUUGAUCCCAUCCCGGUGCUUGCUGAUCUAACAUUAGCAAUCAUUUGCACUGCUGCCACAUAAGCCACAAGGUUCCAGCAGCAAUUGAUUUCCAGCCACCACAUCCCUGUUAGCCGGAAGUCUGCAUCGUCGGAUCCUCGAUUAUCACAGACAGUUAGGGAGGAAGAGUGAGGUGGUUUCUAGCAACUACUCUUCCGGUAGUAACUAUCCCUGGCUGUGGAUCAACAAGACUGGUUUGUGAGAUUGAGGUAAGAAUUGUAUAGAAAUGGAUUAAUACCAAAUUUAAAUCCAUUGUUUUGGUUGUGUAUGAGAUUGAUUCCAAUCUUGAAAAUUUGAAGUGUUAAUUGUGAGCAAAGGAUUGGUUCAUUUCUGGAUAUUGAGAUUAGAUGUUGGAUUUUAAACUAGGGUUCGGGUUGGAUCUGAUUUAUCGAGCUAACCGAGAUUAAAUGACGGCUUUGGGUUUCUUGGUUUAAUAGGAAUUUGAUUUAACUACUAGAUACAUAUUAACAUAGCUAAAUUAUACGUUUGAUUUGCAAGACUUUGAUUCGAGACGAGCGUCUCGACGUGGGAUCUAUUUCGGAUAUGAUCUCCAUUUUUUGAGUCGGGAACCUUGACUUAUCUUUUUGAUAUUGUCAUUUGAUAUGCGUAGUAGAUUAUAACGAGUAGUAAUGGUUAUGUCUAUAUCUGCAUUGGUAGGCCAGGUCUUUACUUGAUACCUAUAGCAUGCUUUAUUUGUUGUCUGUUAUACAUCCAUGCCUAUACCCUCUUGAUUAUUGCCAUGUGUAUUUUGUGUUCAUCGAGGUAGUGACCUACCAUGCCUUAUUGUGUACAGGACUAGUUAUUUGCUAUACCGGUCAGGUGUACCUAGAUCAUUUGUUUGGAUCCAUUUACCUUUUAGUACAUACUUUAUGGAGGUGGAUAUGUUCAGGAUUUACAUGCUUAGUGACAUGCACCAUCUUACACUAUUGCAUGCUGAGCGAUUGUCGGCUCCAUUAUUGUUGAGCACAUAUCCAGUUACAUGGAUCUGCACACACAACCACUCAUGGGUUAGUGGUAUAUCAGACAAGGUGUGUUGCAGCAGGUUACUCUGUCAAGGGUUCCGCUGGUCCGCUCAUGGGUAGUGUGAUUGCAGCAUGGUAGCAGCACAGGGAUUCCUCCCCUUGACUAUGACACAGGGAGAUGAGAGCAUUGGGCUCUCCCACUUAUCAUUUAGGGUAGGAGGAUAGGUGUACUCCGACAGCAUUCUGUCCACUCGAUCACUCAGGAGUAGUGAUGACAGAGUGCACAGUUGUUAUAUCCCUACCCACUCGGUCUCACAUCGUGUGUGAGAUGGUUGACUAACGUCAAUGGUGACAAUGUCAUUUGCAUCAUGUGCAUGCAAGGCUCUAAAAUUCGCUAGGCGCUAGUCCGGCGCUAGACCAGCGCCUAGGCUGCCUAGGCGGGGACUAGGCGCUACUAGGCGGAUUCCACGGUAUCAAUAUAAAUUACAUAAUAAAUCACAUUCUAUAACUCCAACACAAUAAAUCAAAUUUAAAAUGAGUUUAAAAUUACACAACUAAUAAAAUAUUAUAAAUUUAUUCUAUUUUUUCUCCUUUAUAAUUUUCAACAACUUGUUCUUCAUCAGACACAAACUUAAUAUUAUCAUCGGGCACAAACUCAAGGUUACAUUUCAGUUUUUUUUAAUUGGGCUUUAAAUUUAAAAGCCCAAACGAAUAAAAAAAUCAUAAAAACCUUGUACUAUUUCUGCGACGCCUAGACGAUUCAACGAUUAUUCGACGCCUAGGGCCGCCUAAUCGCCCCCUAGGCGUUAAAACCGACUAGGCUGGCCGACUAGCAUGUUUUCGGUGCGGCUGGCUAGUGCCUAGCGCCUAGGCGGGGUCUAGGCGGACGCCUAGGCCGAUUUUUAGAACAUUGUGUGCAUGGAUUGUAUUUAUUGCUUGUGAUUGCUACAUAUUGGAUGCUGUAUUUCUGUGGUUGCAUAUGAUUGACAUACAUACAGGAGACCUGAUGGGUUUGGUCUAAUGACUUUUAUGUCGGGAUAGAAGGCCCAGGUGAGUACAGUUAUUCUCCUGUCUUUCAGUUUUGCUUUUCCAAUUAUUGUCCAGGAGACUAUACUGCAUGAUUAUUACUGUUGGUUAUAUUUUACUAUGCAUGUGAGACUGAUACCCGCUGAGUCGUUGAACUCACACCGUUGCUUUAUUUUCCUAUUUCAGGUUGAAGCCGUCAGAAGGUUCCAGUCGCUAGUCCCCACUAAGAGUCGAGAUGGUUAUCUUUUUUCGGACUUGUGUUUCCUUAUUAGUGAACUACAUACUUGUGAUGUGUGUGUUUUGCACUCUUGGAUUUUAUAUCAUGAUUCGAGUAUAAUGCCCAUGUUUUCCGUUGCGAAGGUUUUUCGUUGUAGUGGUGUAGGUUUUUAUUAAACUGCGUGGUUGUGAUUGUCAGCCGAAGGCUGUACUGUAUAAACUGCGUUGAUAUUUGUUUAUUUUA